UGGGGAAUAUUGGACAAUGGGCGCAAGCCUGAUCCAGCCAUGCCGCGUGAGUGAUGAAGGCCCUAGGGUUGUAAAGCUCUUUCACCGGUGAAGAUAAUGACGGUAACCGGAGAAGAAGCCCCGGCUAACUUCGUGCCAGCAGCCGCGGUAAUACGUAGGGGGCUAGCGUUGUUCGGAUUUACUGGGCGUAAAGCGCACGUAGGCGGACUUUUAAGUCAGGGGUGAAAUCCCGGGGCUCAACCCCGGAACUGCCUUUGGUACUGGAAGUCUUGAGUAUGGUAGAGGUGAGUGAGAGUCCGAGUGUAGAGGUGAAAUUCGUAGAUAUUCGGAGGAACACCAGUGGGGAAGGCGGCUCACUGAACCAUUACUGACGCUGAGGUGCGAAAGCGUGGGGAGCAAACAGG
rnacentral:rRNA from 1 species